rnacentral:lncRNA from 1 species
GUUUAAGUUCAGAGAAGAUGAUAUUCUCAAUGGACUGGAGAGCAGGUAUUGUUUCCCUGACCCUCUUUUACCCAUUUUCAGUACAAACCAGGUUCUAAUUAUAUGAAGUUAAUCAAAGAAAAUCAUAUAGUUGAUCAAGACAGUUUGUUUUUAUUUUUAACCUUAGGUGCCUGGUUACACAGAAUAUUCACAUUUCAGGCAUACCUGAAUGCCAACUAUUUUCCCUUUGCCCUGGAGUUUCUCUCUGAAAUUCAAGAAAGGAAAGCCAUUUUGUUCUUCUAUGUAUUAAAAUGCCUUUUUUUAAUGAGGAGAAAAUGUAAAAUUGUAUCUCUACCAUAAUUACAAGUGCAAAUAAAAUACUGAGGCAUACUGAAAAGAGAACUAAAAAACGAAGCCUUUGGAUGGUUGGAAUGGCAAAAUUGAAGAUAAAUUUAUCUGCAUUUUAUUAUAAUUUUGUUUUAUAUUUUUAACAAUGUAAUCUGUAUUGUACUCUUACAAGAAUUCUUAUGAGUGUUGAUUCAAAGCUGUGAAGAGGAGAAAUGUUACAAACCUUGAGGAAAGCAGUUUCUCUCUGCUUGGAGUCCAAGAUGAAAGUGGAUCUCCCAUUAACCAAGUGAUGUGGCAUUUGCUGAGCAAUGGUUUUUAUAUAUUUCCCAGGCAAAGGGAUCUUUGGUAUUACUAUUACAUGACUUCACGCCAAAUGUCAUGUGAGUUAUAACAUAUAACUCAAAAAGUAUUCUAAAAGUUACAAUGCCAAUGAGUCUUUGCAUGCUCUACCAAGUUUAGUCAGGAUUUUCUGAUUUUGUAUGGUAAUAUGGCAUAGCACAGCACUGUAGACAAACAUAUAGCACAGUAGUGAGAACACUGUGGAAACUGCACAGGUUCAAAUCCUGACCCUGUCACAUAUUAACUGUAUGAUUGUGGUUUAAUCUCUCUGAACUCUGGUUUCACCAGAUUAAAAAAUGUAAUAAUAACAACUAUCAAUUGUGAGGAUUAAGUGUGAAUGUUAUUCAGGGUUCUCCAGAGAAUUGUAGUUCUAGUCCAAAGUCAGCUUGCUGUCAGAAUUCCUUCUUUCUUAAGAGAUCAGUCUUUAUUCUGUCAAAGACUCUCACCUUACAGAGAGUGAUCUACUUUAUUCAAAAUCUACCCAUUUAAACAUUAGUCUCACCCAAAGAUACCACCAUAGAAAUAUCUAGAACACAGUUUGACCAAUUAUCUGGGGAUGCUCUGGCCCAGUCAUGUUCACAUACAAAAUUAACCAGCACAAUGAGGUGAAGUGUGUAAAGAGGAAAAAGCUAAGAGUCGGAAGCAUUCAAUAAACACUUCUCAUUCCAUUAUGCAUUCUAGAGGCAUUGGAGAUGAGGAUGAAGUUGUCGGUUUCAAGUUGGUCUUUGUUGAAAGUUUCUGAUGAGGAUUAAUUGAAAUACAGCUAAGGAGUGGUGGAUAAUUAUCAAUUCUAGUUCAAGACAAGUGACCCUGCAAAUUGGCUACUCUACCUCCCAAAAAAAGAAGACCCUGGAAAAAUGAAGCUAUAAAGUCACAUCACUGAUAUGAACCAGAAGAUAUUUUCAGGGUGAUUAAUAAAUGAUAAAUAGCUGUACUCUCCUUGCUCUUGGGUAAUGCAAGACCAACACUGUAGUGAGAAAUAAGCACAAAGCCUUCAUUUUUUUAGUUUUCUUUUCCAAAGUAAACCACUUGAAGAAAUAGAUGUUCUAAAAGAUAUGCCACCUAUUUAGUUUGUUCAGGCUGUUACAACAAAAUACCACACACUGAUGUUUUAGUCAGCUUUUCACCACUAUUUUAGAGGAAGAACAAUUUUAGAGGAAGAAAAUUUAUUUGGCGCUCAUGGUUUAGAGGCCUCAGUCCAUAGAUGGGUGGCUCCAUUGCUCUGAGCCUAAGAUGAGGCAGAAUAUCAUGGCAUAAAAGCACAGCAGAGGAAAGCAGCUUGGGACAUGGGACCAGGAAGGAGGGAGAAAGAGAGAGUGUGUGUGUUCUGCUCACCAGGGACAAAAUAUAAACCCCAAAGCCAUGCACCCAGUAACUCACUUCCUCUAGCCAUACCAUACGGUGCCUACAGUUACCACUCAGGUAAUCCAUAUCAGUGAGUUAAUACACUGAUUAGGUUAAGGUUUUUAUAAAACAGUCAUUUCACUUCUAAACUUCCUUGUAUUGUCUCACAUGAGAGCUUUUGGGGAGACACCUCCUAUCCAAACCAUAACAGCUGGGUAAUUCAUAAAAACUUGAGAGUUGUUGACAGUUCUGGAGGCUGGAAAGUCCAAGAUUAAGGUGCCAGCAGAUCUGAUAUCUGAGGAGAGCUUGCUCUCUGCUUCGAAGACUGUGGCUUGUAGAUGUGUUCUCUCAUGAGGAAGGGUAAAAUGGCUUCUUCAAGU